rnacentral:tRNA from 1 species
GGUCUAAUGGCCUAAUGGUUAAGGCGCCACUUUCCGGUGGUGGAGAUUCCAGGUUCGAGUCCUGGUUAGAUCG